CCUACGGGUGGCUGCAGUGAGGAAUAUUGGUCAAUGGACGCGAGUCUGAACCAGCCAAGUAGCGUGCAGGAUGACUGCCCUAUGGGUUGUAAACUUCUUUUAUAUGGGAAUAAACUGUUCCACGUGUGGGUUUUUGUAUGUAUCAUAUGAAUAAGGAUCGGCUAACUCCGUGCCAGCAGCCGCGGUAAUACGGAGGAUCCGAGCGUUAUCCGGAUUUAUUGGGUUUAAAGGGAGCGUAGGCGGAUGGUUAAGUCAGUUGUGAAAGUGUGCGGCUCAACCGUGAAAUUGCAGUUGAUACUGUCAGUCUUGAGUACAGUAGAGGUAGGCGGAAUGCGUGGUGUAGCGGUGAAAUGCUUAGAGAUCACGAAGAACACCGAUUGCGAAGGCAGCUCACUGGACUGCAACUGACACUGAGGCUCGAAAGUGUGGGUAUCAAACAGGAUUAGAUACCCGAGUAGUC
rnacentral:rRNA from 1 species